rnacentral:lncRNA from 1 species
UGGUGAAAGCCUUUUUGAGUUAUUGUCCGAAGUGUUGAAAAUCCCCCCUUUUUUUAUGAAUAAAGCCCCAUAAAUCCAAAACUUAAAAUCUGAAAUUUAUGAAAAUUGAAAGGGAGCUUACAUCAAUAGAUAUAAACAAUUCACCAAAGUUUCAUGGACAUUGGUGAAAGCCUUUUUGAGUUAUUGUCCGAAGUGUUGAAAAUCCCCCUUUUU